rnacentral:tRNA from 1 species
GGGGAUAUAGCUCAGUCCGUAGAGUACUUGCCUCACAUGCACAAGGCCCUGGGUUCAAUCCCAGCAUCACAA